GUUUUCCACCUGCAGCUUCAUCCACACGGUGCUUGUCAUGACGUGAGCAGAUUAUCAUGCAAUUAAAUCACCUCGAGACCACGUGGUGAUUCACACGUGGUUUGUGUGCCACACUUCCGAGUGCUCGCAGAAGCUUCAGCGUUCUUUCUUUGUUCCGUUGACGCCUGAUCUACGUCCAGCGUAGCCGCUCAACUCCCAUCCGCACAACAGCAACUCACACUGUAUACAUAUUACAGAUGCACCCAUCUAGGAUCAGCCACUAAAGGUCUUGUAAGGGAUUGCUCAUAUUCAGCUGCAGCAGGUUUCCGAAUAACGGGAAAGGCAGUGGUCCGGGGGGGAAGUGUUUGGGCCUCCGAGUUCUAAAGAGGAAGAAGAGGAGGUAGAAGCCAAUCCACAGGAGAAUCAGUGAGCCCAGCAUGACAGGAGAUGAUGGCUCUUCCUUCAAUGAAAAACAGCUGCUCGGUUAUCUGAAUGACCUCCUCGCUGCUGGAACAGACACCACUUGCCAACACACUCCUCACAGCCU